rfam:Cyphomyrmex costatus contig14493, whole genome shotgun sequence.
AAAUCGGCCCUUUUAAGGGUCACAAACAUUUUUAAAUUGUUGGAA